rnacentral:rRNA from 1 species
AUUGAACGCUGGCGGCGUGCUUAACACAUGCAAGUCGAGCGGUAACAGGUGUAGCAAUACAUGCUGACGAGCGGCGAACGGGUGAGUAAUGCUUCGGAAUCUUCCUCGUAGUGGGGAAUAACCUGGGGAAACUCAGGCUAAUACCGCAUACGAACUACGGUUGAAAGCAGGGGAUCGCAAGACCUUGCGCUAUGAGAUGAGCCGAAGUCGGAUUAGCUAGUUGGUGAGGUAAAGGCUCACCAAGGCGACGAUCCGUAGCUGGUCUGAGAGGACGACCAGCCACACUGGGACUGAGACACGGCCCAGACUCCUACGGGGAGGCAGCAGGUGGGGAAUAUUGGACAAGUGGGGGCAACCCUGAUCCAGCGACGCCGCGUGUGUGAAGAAGGCCUGCGGGUUGUAAAGCACUUUUAGUGGGAUAGAAAACGCCGAAGGGUUAAUACCCUUUGGUCUUGACCUAACCCAAAGAAAAGACACCGGCUAACUCUGUGC